AAAUGUAAGGAAAAUUCACCCCAGUUUUUCAUCUCUGCGUUGAGGUGAUCUGGGGACGGUGGUGUUCAUUCUGAUUUCCGAACCAUACAUGGUGAUGAUCUGGAUCUGAAGACAUUUUGUCUCAGUUUGUUCCAAGGUACCCAAAGAUCAACCCUUCAUGUAGGACCCUCUUUAAACCCCAUGUUACUGUUACAGAUAUAUCUGCUUUGACUGACUCAUGUUUCAUUACUAGUUACUGAAUAAAUCUUCCGGAAAGGGAGGAGUAGGAUUUCCUUUUACUGCUUUUCAUUGUUGUUGGUUCAAGUCCACUUUGAAUAUUGGAGCCAUAGUAAUCGGAAAGCUGCAAAAAGAUAAAUGAAGUUUAUUUGUUUUUUACUUUUCUUUAGGUGCCAUAGGUUUACAAUGAAAACAAUGGUCCUUCUCUUUUGUGGUUUGAGUCUAGCAUGAUUUUGUCUUUGUACUUUAUUUUUAAAUACUAUUUUGUAAUAGUUACUUUUUAUUAUUUGGAAU